UACGGAGGGUGCAAGCGUUAUCCGGAUUCACUGGGUUUAAAGGGUGCGUAGGAGGGCAGGUAAGUCAGUGGUGAAAUCUCCGAGCUUAACUCGGAAACUGCCGUUGAUACUAUCUGUCUUGAAUCCCGUGGAGAUGAGCGGAAUAUGUCAUGUAGCGGUGAAAUGCUUAGAUAUGACAUAGAACACCAAUUGCGAAGGCAGCUCGCUACACGAAUAUUGACUCUGAGGCACGAAAGCGUGGGGAUCAAACAGG
rnacentral:rRNA from 1 species